rnacentral:rRNA from 1 species
AACGAACGCUGGCGGCAUGCCUAACACAUGCAAGUCGAACGAGACCUUCGGGUCUAGUUGCGCACGGGUGCGUAACGCGUGGGAACCUGCCCUUAGGUUCGGAAUAACUCCCCGUCAGGGGUGCUAAUACCGGAUAAUGUCUUCUGACCAAAGAUUUAUCGACCUUGGAUGGGCCCGCGUUGCAUUAGCUAGUUGGUAGGGUAAAAGCCUACCAAGGCGACGAUCCAUAGCUGGUCUGAGAGGAUGGUCAGCCACACUGGGACUGGGACGCGGCCCGGAAUAUUACGGGAGGCAGCAGAGGGGAAUAUUGGAAAACGGGCGAAAGGAUGAUGCAGCUAUGGCGGGUGAGUGAUGAAGGCCGUAGGGUUGUAAAGCUCUUUUACCCGGGAUGAUAAUGACAGUACCGGGAGAAUAAGCUCCGGCUAACUCCGUG